UCCCAGCUUCUAUAUUCUGGAUGAGCCAACUAACCACUUGGACAUGGAAACAACUGAGGCUUUGGGGAAGGCCUUGAAUACAUUUAAGGGUGGAGUUAUACUUGUGUCUCACGAUGAGCGUUUUAUUCGCAUAGUAUGUAGAGAACUCUGGGUAUGUGAGAACCAAACAGUACGAUGGUAGCUUUGAUUAAUACAAGGAUGUAUUACAAGAACAGUUCCGCAAGGAGGGGUACUUAUAAUUCCUUUUUCUGGAAAUCUAAGGACCUCUUGACUGUACUGAAGAGUUGCACUGAAGAGAAAAAAAGCCUUGUGCCACACACAAGGAAAAUCAUUACAGAACAGCCAACAAAUUUUGUCAUUGGAUUGUAAUGAGAAAAGUAACUGAUUUUUCAGUCUUGUAUUCUGCCACUAAAGGAUCCUGUACAGGCUCCCCCCAACCAACAGAAAAACAUCCUAGUUCCUACUGACAGCUUCGAAAGGAGAUACCUGCUUACUUUUAUUGACCCCAAAUUCAUAAUCCUCAUUUUAAAUGACUAGUGCAAUUGUUACCAGACAUGAGAAUGUUAUUCCAGUAAUUUAUGAACCCAGACAUUUUGACUGGUAUGUUAAUAAAGAAUUAUGACUAAGUA